rfam:Aedes albopictus isolate Foshan contig122663, whole genome shotgun sequence.
UGUUCUGUGGCUUAGUUGGUUAAAGCGCCGGUCUAGCGAAUACGGAGUCGUGGGUUCGAAACCCACAAGAACGU